rnacentral:rRNA from 1 species
AGCAGCCGCGGUAAUUCCAGCUCCAAUAGCGUAUAUUAAAGUUGUUGCAGUUAAAAAGCUCGUAGUCGAAGCGGGUGUGACGUUUGGUGGCAAGCUGCGCAAGUGGCUGUGUCAGCGGCGGCACAAAAGAGGCUGAGGGCGGCUGGUACUCUUUAGUGGGCGGCAGCUAGCCAGCAGCAGGAUUACCUUGAGCAAAAU